rnacentral:rRNA from 1 species
UACAGAGGGGGCUAGCGUUGCUCGGAAUCACUGGGCGUAAAGGGUGCGUAGGCGGGUCUUUAAGUCAGGGGUGAAAUCCUGGAGCUCAACUCCAGAACUGCCUUUGAUACUGAGGAUCUUGAGUACGGGAGAGGUGAGUGGAACUGCGAGUGUAGAGGUGAAAUUCGUAGAUAUUCGCAAGAACACCAGUGGCGAAGGCGGCUCACUGGCCCGUUACUGACGCUGAGGCACGAAAGCGUGGGGAGCAAACAGG